rnacentral:hammerhead_ribozyme from 1 species
AUCCAGCUGACGAGUCCCAAAUAGGACGAAAUGCGCAUCCUGGAN